UACAGAGGUCUCAAGCGUUGUUCGGAUUCAUUGGGCGUAAAGGGCGCGUAGGCGGCGGGGUAAGUCGGGUGUGAAAUCCCCGGGCUCAACCUGGGAACUGCAUUUGUGACUGCAAGGCUAGAGUACGGUAGAGGGGGAUGGGAAUUCCGCGUGUAGCAGUGAAAUGCGUAGAUAUGCGGAGGAACACCGAUGGCGAAGGCAAUCCCCUGGACCUGUACUGACGCUCAUGCACGAAAGGCGUGGGGAGCAAACGAGG
rnacentral:rRNA from 1 species